GUAAUGGGGAAUAACUAAUUGAAAGAUUAGCUAAUACCGCAUACGACCUACGGGUGAAAGCAGGGGAUCUUAGGACCUUGCGUUAUUGGAGCGGCCGAUAUCUGAUUAGCUAGUUGGUAGGGUAAAAGCCUACCAAGGCGACGAUCAGUAGCUGGUCUGAGAGGACGAUCAGCCACACUGGAACUGAGACACGGUCCAGACUCCUACGGGAGGCAGCAGUGGGGAAUUUUGGACAAUGGGGGAAACCCUGAUCCAGCCAUCCCGCGUGAGUGAAGAAGGCCUUCGGGUUGUAAAGCUCUUUCGGAAGUGAAGAAAACUUAUUUCGUAAUAUGUUAUAAGAAU
rnacentral:rRNA from 1 species